rnacentral:rRNA from 1 species
UACAGAGGUCUCGAGCGUUGUUCGGAUUCAUUGGGCGUAAAGGGCGCGUAGGCGGCGGGGUAAGUCUGGUGUGAAAUCUCGGAGCUCAACUCCGAAAUUGCACUGGAUACUGCUCUGCUAGAGGGCUGGAGAGGAGAUCGGAAUUCACGGUGUAGCAGUGAAAUGCGUAGAUAUCGUGAGGAAGACCAGUGGCGAAGGCGGAUCUCUGGGACGGUACUGACGCUGAGACGCGAAAGCGUGGGGAGCAAACAGG